rnacentral:rRNA from 1 species
AUACAGGAAGAAACACUACUUCGUGAAGUAGCUUGACGGUACUGUAAGAAUAAGGAUCGGCUAACUCCGUGCCAGCAGCCGCGGUAAUACGGAGGAUCCAAGCGUUAUCCGGAAUCAUUGGGUUUAAAGGGUCCGUAGGCGGUCAGAUAAGUCAGUGGUGAAAGCCCAUCGCUCAACGGUGGAACGGCCAUUGAUACUGUCUGACUUGAAUUAUUAGGAAGUAACUAGAAUAUGUAGUGUAGCGGUGAAAUGCUUAGAGAUUACAUGGAAUACCAAUUGCGAAGGCAGGUUACUACUAAUGGAUUGACGCUGAUGGACGAAAGCGUGGGUAGCGAACAGGAUUAGAUACCCUGGUAGUCCACGCCGUAAACGAUGGAUACUAGCUGUUCGGAGCAAUCUGAGUGGCUAAGCGAAAGUGAUAAGUAUCCCACCUGGGGAGUACGUUCGCAAGAAUG